GUCCACGCCCUAAACGAUGUCAACUAGUUGUCGGGUGACUUGAUCACUUGGUAACGCAGCUAACGCGUGAAGUUGACCGCCUGGGGAGUACGGUCGCAAGAUUAAAACUCAAAGGAAUUGACGGGGACCCCGCACAAGCGGUGGAUUAUGUGGAUUAAUUCGAUGCAACGCGAAAACCUUACCUACCCUUGACAUGUCAGGAAUCCCGGAGAGAUUUGGGAGUGCCCGAAAGGGAACCUGAACACAGGUGCUGCAUGGCUGUCGU
rnacentral:rRNA from 1 species